CCUUCCUACGGGGGGCAGCAGUAGGGAAUUUUCGUCAAUGGGCGCAAGCCUGAACGAGCCAUGCCGCGUGAACGAGGAAGGUCUUCGGAUCGUAAAGUUCUGUUGAAGGGGAAAAAGAGCGGAGAGAGGAAAUGCUUUCUGAUUGAUAUUACCCUUCGAGGAAGUCACGGCUAACUACGUGCCAGCAGCCGCGGUAAUACGUAGGUGGCGAGCGUUAUCCGGAAUGAUUGGGCGUAAAGGGUGCGUAGGCGGUCCUGCAAGUCUGGAGUGAAACGCAUGCGCUCAACUCAUGCAUGGCUUUGGAA
rnacentral:rRNA from 1 species